CCUCACGACUCUAUUUUCUCCCUCAAUAGCAAGGUCGUUAGCCAGUACUCCUCCAUCCCUGGCCCCUUGCCGCCGAUGCUGUCCUAUACGUACGUCGUCGACCCCACAUACACUGUAUCAAAGCUUCUGACCACCACCAUAGGCUCACUCAGAGUAGACAAGCUGCUCGGUCUUGGAUUGACUGACCUCUACUUCUACCAGGCAAAAUCCCGCUCCUUGGCCUCCUCUUCUUUCUAUCUCAAGCCUUCCUCAAUCAAAACCGAUCCGGCUUCAACGCCGACUCACCGCUCGAUCCGCCCCCACCACCCCUCCAACGCGUUCACGGCCAACUAAGAAAAAG
rnacentral:lncRNA from 1 species